rnacentral:rRNA from 1 species
UACGAAGGGGGCUAGCGUUGCUCGGAAUCACUGGGCGUAAAGCGCACGUAGGCGGAUUGUUAAGUCAGGGGUGAAAUCCUGGAGCUCAACUCCAGAACUGCCUUUGAUACUGGGAAGCUUGAGUCCGGAAGAGGUGAGUGGAACUGCGAGUGUAGAGGUGAAAUUCGUAGAUAUUCGCAAGAACACCAGUGGCGAAGGCGGCUCACUGGUCCGGUACUGACGCUGAGGUGCGAAAGCGUGGGGAGCAAACAGG